rnacentral:lncRNA from 10 species
GUGAUGAGUCCAGUGAGGAAGAUCUUUCAGCAGAGAUGACAGAAGACGAGACACCCAAGAAAACAACUCCCAUUCUCAGAGCAUCGGCUCGCAGGCACAGAUCCUAGGAAGUCUGUUCCUGUCCUCCCUGUGCAGGGUAUCCUGUAGGGUGACCUGGAAUUCGAAUUCUGUUUCCCUUGUAAAAUAUUUGUCUGUCUCUUUUUUUUAAAAAAAAAAAAGGCCGGGCACUGUGGCUCACGCCUGUAAUCCCAGCACUUUGCGAUACCAAGGCGGGUGGAUAACCUGAGGUAGGGAGUUCGAGACCAGCCUGACCAACAUGGAGAAACCCCAUCUCUACUAAAAAUAAAAAAUUAGCCGGGCGUAUUGGCGUGCGCCUGUAAUCCCAGCUACUCAAGAGGCUGAGGCAGGAGAAUCGCCUGAACCCAGAGGCGGAGGUUGUAGUGAGCCGAAAUCACACCAUUGCACUCCAGCUUGGGCAACAAUAGCGAACCUCCAUCUCAAAUUAAAAAAAAAAUGCCUACACGCUCUUUAAAAUGCAAGGCUUUCUCUUAAAUUAGCCUAACUGAACUGCGUUGAGCUGCUUCAACUUUGGAAUAUAUGUUUGCCAAUCUCCUUGUUUUCUAAUGAAUAAAUGUUUUUAUAUACUUUU